rnacentral:tRNA from 1 species
UGGGGCGUAGCCAAGCGGUAAGGCACGGGACUUUGGAUUCCGCAUUCCGUAGGUUCGAAUCCUACCGCCCCAGCCA